rnacentral:rRNA from 1 species
GACGAACCGUGCGAACGUUAUUCGGAAUCACUGGGCUUAAAGCGCGUGUAGGCGGAUGAGCACGUCUGUCGCUGAAAUCCCCCGGCUCAACCGGGGAACGGGCGCGGAUACGGCUCGUCUGGAGGGCGUAGGGGGACCUGGAACUUCCGGUGGAGCGGUGAAAUGCGUUGAGAUCGGAAGGAACGCCCGUGGCGAAAGCGAGGUCCUGGACGCCUACUGACGCUGAGGCGCGAAAGCCAGGGAGCGAACGGGG